rnacentral:lncRNA from 1 species
CACCCAACCAACCCAAUCCAGUCCAGCCCUGCCCCAGCCCAGUCCUAGCCCCAGGCCCAGAUACUUUCAGACCUAUCCCAAGCCCACUUCUACUUAGAGAAAUUCGAAUCUUCAUUGAUUCAGUGCUAAAAUGCAGUGUCCAUCACUCAGCCUAUAAGACUGAGACAGCCCAUCUAUACCCCCUCCAUACUGACUUCUAGAGUCAUGGAAUUUCACUUAAUGCAUAGAAUCGUAUUGCUAAAAUGCAGUGCCCAUCACUCAGCCUAUAAGACUGAGAUAGCCCAUCUAUACCCCCUCCAUACUGACUUACAGAGUCAUGGAGUUUCACUUAAUGCAUGCAGUCCUAUUGCUAAAAUGCAGUGCCCAUAACUCAGCCUAUAAGACUGAGAUAGCCCAUUUAUACCCCAUACCCCCUCCAUACUGACUUCUAGGGUCAUGGAAUUUCACUUAAUACAUAGAAUCGUAUUGCUAAAAUGCAGUGUCCAUCACUCAGUCUAUAAGACUGAGAUAUCCCUAUGUAUACCCCAUACUCCCUCCAUACUGACUUCCAGAGUCAUAGAAUUUCACUUUGCAUACGGUCCUAUUGCUAAAAUGCAGUGUCCAUCACUCAGUCUAUAAGACUGAGAUAUCCCUAUGUAUACCCCAUACUCCCUCCAUACUGACUUCCAGAGUCAUAGAAUUUCACUUUGCAUACGGUCCUAUUGCUAAAAUGCAGUGCCCAUCACUCAGCCUAUAAGACUGAGAUAGCCCAUCUAUACCCCCUCCAUACUGACUUCCAGAGUCAUGGAAUUUCACUUAAUGCAUGCAGUCCUAUUGCUAAAAUGCAGUGCCCAUCACUCAGCCUAUAAGACUGAGAUAGCCCAUCUAUACCCCAUACCCCCUCCAUACUGACUUCCAGAGUCAUGGAAUUUCACUUAAUGCAUGCAGUCCUAUUGCUAAAAUGCAGUGCCCAUCACUCAGCCUAUAAGACUGAGAUAGCCCAUCUAUACCCACUCCAUACUGACUUCCAGAGUCAUGGAAUUUCACUUAAUGCAUGCAGUCCUAUUGCUAAAAUGCAGUGCCCAUCACUCAGCCUAUAAGACUGAGAUAGCCCAUCUAUACCCACUCCAUACUGACUUCCAGAGUCAUGGAGUUUCACUUAAUGCAUGCAGUCCUAUUGCUAAAAUGCAGUGCCCAUAACUCAGCCUAUAAGACUGAGAUAGCCCAUUUAUACCCCAUACCCCCUCCAUACUGACUUCUAGGGUCAUGGAAUUUCACUUAAUGCAUAGAAUCGUAUUGCUAAAAUGCAGUGUCCAUUACUCAGCCUAUAAGACUGAGAUAUCCCUAUGUAUACCCCAUACCCCCUCCAUACUGACUUCCAGAGACAUAGAAUUUCACUUUGCAUACGGUCCUAUUGCUAAAAUGCAGUGCCCAUCACUCAGCCUAUAAGACUGAGAUAUCCCUAUCUAUACCCUCUACCCCCUCCAUACUGACUUCCAGAGUCAUGGAAUUUCACAUAAUGUAUAGAUUUCUAUUGCUAAAAUGCAGUGCCCAUAACUCAGCCUAUAAGACUGAGAUAGCCCAUCUAUACCCCCUCCAUACUGAGUUCCAGAGUCAUGGAAUUUCACUUAAUGCAUAGAAUCGUAUUGCUAAAAUGCAGUGCCCAUCACUCAGCCUAUAAGACUGAGCCCAUCUAUACCCCAUACCCCCUCCAUACUGACUUCCAGAGUCAUGGAAUUUCACUUUGCAUACAGUCCUACUUUACUUGUCCAUGGACAAGUAAACAAAGAACUCUUGUCCUUCAUGUUAAUCAAGAUACACCAAUCAAACAAGAGUUUUAUAUCAGAGACUUGCCAUGGAGGUAUCAUCUCUCAAGUCUCCUUUCCUUUAAGGAAAGAAAACCAUUCUGUCAUUGCUGUAGUAGUCACAGUCCCAAGUUUCUAAGCAGUGUUCAGUCGUCUUUUCUCAUGUAUUACCUUGAGUACUGAAUAAUUCUGUCAGAAAUAUUUUGUCCAUUGGAUUAGACUUUAGCUAGUCCAGCCCUGUGUGCAUUUAGCAAAGGGGCAAACACAGGUCUGUUAUCAGACAGUUAAAGUGCUCAGUCCCAAUUUUCAAGGCAUUGGCCAUUAAAGGGGGUAGAAUACUAUAUACUGUUGGCAUGCUGUCAUGGGUGCUAUCGCCCCAGGUCACAUCUUUCUAACUGAUGGAGAUACAUUUAUUUGCUCAUGAUAUUGUAUACUAGUCUCACAUGCUUUCUUAUUUCAGCCAAAAACCUCUGCACUGGAACAUUUUAUGUGGAUAAUCCUGACUAGGAAUUGAGUCUUUUCUCAAGGUCCUAAUACUACCCUUGCUUUAUGUAAAGAGGGUGCUGAUUACUUAAUGCCUCUUACACAAUUGUGCAAAAUUGCAGUUGUUCAAGUCCCCUUCUGUUAGUAACCAAGAUCCCAUACCCUCAUACCCUAAUGGGUGACAAUCAAGGGUGCCAACCAAUGAGACCACUUCUCUGUUCUGGUCUUUCUGCUGUGCUGGGGAAUCAAACCUUGAGUCUUGUGUACGCUAGUAAAGCACUGUCAUAGAGCUACAGCCCCACCGUGUGGUGGUUUGAGAGAACAGCCUCUUAUGUAGCCUGGGCUGGGCGGGACUUACAGGCAUUGCCACCUGUAAUGUAAACAUAUUUGUGCCUGUUGUGUGCACAGCUGCAUUUGUCCCUCUUCCUAAGCAUUGGAUAAAGAAACCAAACUAAGUCAAGUCAUUUUGUUGGUAAUCAAGAAGACCUUUGAUCUGUCCUGUUUUUAACUUCCAGGCUGGCCUGGAACUUAGCAUAUAACCCAGGCUAGCCUUGAGCUCAGGAUCUAGCCUGCGUUUAACAAGUGUUGGCAUAUCUGGUUCCUACCACUAUGCCCUGCAUGCAGUCUUUCAUAUUGUGAAUGUGCAUAUGUCAUUUCACUGUAGUAAUCUGCAUCUGGUGAAGACUUAUUUGUAUUGCAGCAGUAUUUAAGAUCCUUAACAUAGUAAAUGUGCACAGUGUUAACUCUAUUGUACAUAUUCUCAUGUCCACAGUUGUGCCUUUUAGAUCAGGACUCCUGUACUUAGCAAAGCAAAGAGGCUCACUAAUAUAAAGCUUCUUUCAUGAGACUAUAGAUUGAAACGAUUCCAAUACGGUCAAUGGUCCUUCAAGGUAAGACUUCUGUCUCUGAUCAUUCAUAUCCUCUUUGCUUUAUGGAAUUAUGUAUGUGCUGUGCACUUGAAACCCCUUCCUCAAACUAUUUAUGUACAUACUGGCAAUUUUAGUAGGAUCAAUUUUACUCUUAACUUUGAAGUACAGAAGUGGUGUUGACCUAUAAGGUCCCAUUUUGUGGCUUGCUAAUAAUAAUGACUGAUUGUAGUAGGCCUUUUCUGUUCACUACAGAAGGAAACCUGAACAGCGUAAAACUGUAAUGGCCAUAAACAUGUACCUUGCAUAUUAGUAUGCAUUUACUGCACACAUCUCAUUCCAUUUGGAUACGAUCCUACUCUCAAACCCUUUUGCAGUACAGCAAGGGUCACUAAUCUUUUGGCUUCUUCAUCUUCCUGGACACUGGAUAAGGCUGUCCCCUCCUUUCCACUCUUUAAUUUCCAGGACUAUUACUUUAAAGACUUAAUAUUUGCAUAAAGGAUGGGGUUUUUAAUUGAUAACAUGUCCCUUGAACAUUAAUGUAUAUAACAGGGACAUGAUCCAUUCAUUUUAAUAAAAAUACUUGGCCAGUUAAUGUGUAAAAUUACACUUAUCCACAACCUUAUUACUUUUCGGACCAUUGUAUCUCUUGCACUCCUGCAAGGGAUACCGUUUAUCUCCCAAGGUCCCUGCUAGUGGACCAUUAAUAUACAGUGAAUCUUCCUUUGUCUUUGCCAGUAAACAAAGGCCAUACUCCUUCGCCUUUCAUUUGCACUAUAUCAGGAUAUGCUGAUCAACAAGGCCGCAUUCUUUUGGACUGUUAUCAUAUAUUAAAUGUAUGCGUAUGCACUGCCACCUGCUCUGUGCACUUGAAAGGAUCCCACUCACUUCCUUAGCACCUUCAGCAGGAAGUGAUAAUAAGCUCAAGACUUUCAUUUGGAAAGUUCACAUGUCUAAGCACUUCUCUAAGAACUACUGUACCCUCUUCUCCGCUUUAAAGCAGAAAGAGGGUUGUACGAAGUGCUCUUCAUUUGGACUUAAGUGCAUUAAUGCAGUUAGUUGUCCAUCAUUACCUUUGGAGUUGGAUUUUACAUCCUUGUACUCUUUUGACACCAGAGGCAUAUUAAUUAUUUCUGAGCACUUCUCUUGUCAAUAUUAAUCUGUACCCUUACACAUAUGACCUGUGCGGCAGCAAAGGUUCUGAAAUGCCUACCUUUUGACUGGGGCUGCUGAGUGGUAGUAACUAUUAGUAACCUCAGCAUUUGGAUGAUUACUAUGCAAAAAUGUCAAGGACCUGUGUGCUCUCUUUGCAUACCAUCAAGGCUACUGAGUCCCAGAAUUAAUUGCUAAGUUAUGCGUAUUUAUAACUAUGAAUGUCUGGAAUAUUUUGUCCCCUUUACAUUAUUGCAGAGGUUGCUGAGCCCCCGAAACUACCCGGUACUGUCAAUGAGCACAGGGGCUCUGACGAAUGACCUGCUCUCUUCCUUAAACUGAUUUUGGGACUCUUAAUAGGCACAAUGGCAGUUCUGGAUGGUUUAUUUUCUACUCCAACUUGAGCAAAUCCCCUGCUAGUUUCCCAAUGAUAUAAUAAAGUACAGCAGUAUGUACACCCAACAAUGACCCGGAUUUCGACCCUUUUUGCAUUGCUUUAAUAUAUACAAUCCUAAAUAGUCACAAUCUCACACUUUAUAGUGUUCCUUUUGCCCGGCCUCUAGUUUGUCCAUUGACCACUUUUCUGAAUCACUAAUUCUCACAAACCCAUCAUUAAGGAAGAGUUUGUGCCCUUUCUCAAUUCCAUCAUGCCAUCCCUUUUGCCUCUUUGUUUGAACAGUAUUGACUGGGCAAAGCCCUUCUCUUGACUUAAAGUCAACAACACCAGUUUACUCACUUCAUAUGGCUACAGUGUCUCAGUUGCCUUCUCCUUGCUCCCACUGAACAGAGACACCUCGAAUUCUUACAUUAUUCUGGGUAAUGUUAAUUACCCCAAACACCCUAUGUGUCAUUAAUAAAUUUUGGUGUAUUUAUACACUGAAUAGCAAAAGCAGGCCAAAACUAGGUGGAUGAGCCUUCAAUCUUUAACUUGCACUUCUAAAUUAUUCCAAUUCCAACUGCUGGCACAUUCUAGGGCCAGGAACCAUUCUUGCCUACCUUUAUUAAUGCUUUAUUGUGCAAAAUAUUGCAGGCAAGUAGCUCAGGGAGUUGGAUUGCCACCUUUUACUUGGGGCUUUCCUUUACAGUAUGAACUGAAAAUUGUCUUCCUGAGAAGGAAGCUUAGCACUUUUCUUUCCGUUCUUCCUCCAGGAAGGAGCCAACUGUCUGCUUAAGAAACUUUAAGCCCGAUUUUGUAUAUUGCUACUGUACAGGACCAACUGCCAGAAAAGUUAUUGAUAAUUUUAUUCCUUAAGAAAGGCAUUUGGAUUGCAAGGUGGAUUGACUGUGAGAUCAUUAGCUUUUGUGAAGUAAAAAUAGCCAUUUGUGUCAUGUUUCUGAAGACUAAGCAGUGUCUCAGUGUACUGAGGGUGAUGAGUCUGUGGAAAGAUCAGUGCAACUAUUGCAGAAUGUUUAAGACAAGUAUCUUUGCUUGGUCUUUACUACAAGUUUAACAAAACGAAAAAGUCAAUCUUUGUGUGGCCUUUAGUAUGAUUAACUUUUUGGAAGAUGACCUAAGCCUUCUAAUCAUUAUAUUUUGUCUGACAUUGGUCACCAGUCCUUGCUUAUUUUUAAAAGGUGACUGGAUGGAUUAAAUUUGAGAACAUGUCAAGUCGCCUUUGAAAAUUAUAUAGGCCAUCACAUUUAAUUAAUUCAUUCUAUCCACCAUUAAACUCUGGCAAUAAUUUGAAGUAGCUUGAAAAUUCCUAAAGUGGGAAUUUAUUUUAGAGAUGAUAGAACCUGUUUCCCCACUUUACAUUUUAAAAUAUGUCUGCCAGGAUCUAAUCAUUCCUUUAAACGUACACUUCAAAGAGAGAUUUUCCUAGUAAGAAAAGAGCUUUCUCUAGUGUGAAGGGUGCUUUGUAGCCGCCGAGUACUUAGGUCUUUUUUGGGAGCUAUUGUGUAUGAGUGUAUGUAUGUGUGUGUGUACAUGCAUGUUGCUGCGCGCAGUCAUUCAUUCACAUGGUGCUCAGACAACAAUGGGAGCUGGUUCGUCUAUCUUGUGGGUCCUGGAGAUCAAAGUGAGAUCAUCAGGCUUGGCAGCAAGUGCCUUUACCCUCCGCGUGCCAUCUUGCCAUCCCGCUGCUGAGUGUUUGAUAUGACAUUGCUGAUGAAAAUAAUCAUCACAACAGCAGUUCUCCCAGCAUUACUGAGAAAUGAUACUAUUUUUCUGAGGAGGAUGUUCAAGUAACUCAUCCAGUGCAGGAUCCUGCUUGAACUACUGCUCCUCCGUUACAUCAGACUCUGGCUGUUUAGACUACAGGAUGAAUUUGGAGUCUGUUUUGUGCUCCUGCCUCAAGAAGAAGGAUUGCCUGGAUUUAGAGGAGUGAAGAGUGCUGGAGAGAGCCCAAAGGGACAAACAAUCCCUAUGUGAGACUCAAGGACUGCCAGCAGCCUAUACAGCUACAUUACAUCUCAGCAGAACUUCUCUUCAAGUCCUCGCUACUCUGAACAAAAAGCUUACAGGCCACAUGGAGAAAAAAAGAUCUCCCCCCAGAAUUGUGGGCUUGCUGCUUUGCAGUGCUGGCGACCUAUUCCCUUUGACGAUCCCUAGGUGGAGAUGGGGCAUGAGGAUCCUCCAGGGGAAUAGCUCACCACCACUGGGCAACAGGCCUAGCCCAGAUUUCAGUGAGACGCUUUCCUGAACCCAGCAAGGAAGACAAAGGCUCAAAGAAUGCCACCCUACAUCAAAGUAGGAGAAAAGCUGCUGCAAUAGUGGCACUGACCUUCGAGGAAGCCAUUCUGCUCUAUUUGGUUCUCUCUCCAGAAGCUAGGAAAGCUUUGCCAGCUGUUUACAUACUUCAAGAUGCACUGCUACCCUACUCAUGCCAUAUAAUACACAAUGCCAUCUACCAAAUAUUACCCUUCCCCAAAGCAGCACAGAAAACUGGGUCUUCAGCGUGAUCAAGCAAUGUGAACACACAAAAGGAAGGCAGCUUUAUAAAUGACCCGAGGAUCAACAUGCCUGACUGCAGCAUCUUAAAAGCAAUAGAAUGAGUGUGUAUUGUGGGUGUGUCUAUUUCUUGUUUUAUGUAUCUAUUUUUUCCUUGGUCUGUGUGUCUAAUUCUUUGUUACAUCUAUUUCUUCCUUGCUUUGUGUGUCUAUUUCUUCCUUGCUUUGUGUGUCUAUUUCUUCCUUGCAUUAUGUCUAAUUCUUUGUUAUAUCUAUUUCUUCCUUGCUUUGUGUGUCUAUUUCUUCCUUGCAUUGUGUCUAAUUCUUUGUUAUAUCUAUUUCUUCCUUGCUUUUGUGUGUCUAUUUCUUCCUUGCAUUGUGUCUAAUUCUUUGGUAUAUAUAUUUCUUCAUUGCUUUGUGUGUCUAUGUCUCCUUGUGUUGUCUAAUUCGUUGUUGCAUCUAUUUCUUCCUUGCUUUGUGUGUCUAUUUCUUCCUUGCUUUGUGUGUCUAUGUCUUCCUUGCUUUGUGUGUCUAUGUCUUCCUUGUUUUGUGUAUCUACUUCUUCCUUGUGUGUCUAAUUCUUUGUUACAUCUAUUUCUUCCUUCCUUUGCAUGUCUCCUUCUUUCCUUUGUGUGUCUUUUCUGUCUGCAGUGUGUCUUACCUAUUCCCAUGUUUCUCCUGCAUGUUCUUUCUUGCAGAGCUUUGAGCUUUGUUUCACUUUCUCUGGUGCCUGUGUGGUCUGCUUUGUCUUCACUAGCUAUGGCUCUCUGUUUUAUCUAUCUGGUUGCUAUUUCUCUUAGCUUUUCUUUCACUCCUGCCUUUCGUGACUCCCCUUUGGGUCACAUGUUGCAUGCAUCCCUCUCUUUUUCUUGUGCUCACCCCACUUGUUCUUUGUUCAAGUUCUCUUUGUCAGUCCAUUUCAGUUUUCUUUCUGCUGCUUCUAUCCUUAGUGAAUUCUUGUUUACAUUUCUUCCCUGCCUUUCUUGGGCCACUUUCUCUGUUUUCUUUUGUAUUUGUGUCUCUUUGCUAUUGGUGGAUUUCUUAUCUCAGCAUCAUUCUGUUGCUUUGUGUUUGCUUGUGUUUCUAUCUUCUACUUUCCUCCUUUCUGUUCACUUUGAGCAUUUCAUCUCUUUACAAGUCUGUGUCUCUCUUGUAUUCUAAAGUAAUCCUUUCUUGGAUGUUUCUUUGUAUGUACAUGUGCGUGUGUGCAUGUGUGUUAUGUGUGUCAUGUGUGAGAGGAGCUUCAUAGCCCCUUCCCAAUAGGUCCAGAAUGUCACCCGUGGAGCCGUUCCUCACACCAGACUGCCCUGAGAAAUAAUCUAAGACAAAAUACAUCAUUCCGUCCGGUCAGGAUUCAAGUGGCUCUGAAGUGAACGCCCAAGUAGAAGACAGAAGUUUUGCGACUUGAGAUUUAAAAGGACCAAAAUACACAGAUGGCCCGUCUUGAGCUGGCUGGACAGAAUGCUGACAACCCAAAGAAGAGGAACUGUUUCUACAGGACACCUGUGACUUCCAAGAGCGGGGAACUACUUACUGCCAUCAAUAUUGCUACCAAUUAAGCACAUCCUACCAUCAUCUGCUUUGAUCACAUAAAUGAACUGUGUACCAAUCUGUUGUUGAAAGACUGGAGUCAUCUUCCCACCAACUGUGAAAAAACACAUGGAAAACACCUGGACUUUGUGAACGGAUGCGGAAUACAGAACUUCUGUUGACUCUUGGGUGUUUUGAAGACUUGAAAAAAAAAACUGUUGCUUACCAACAUGUCACAAUGAGUCCGUGUGUGGGUGGGUGGAUGGGUGGG